GUCUGUGGCCAUACUACCCUGAACGCGCCCGAUCUCAUCUGAUCUUGGAAGCUAAGUAGGGUCGGGCCUGGUUAGUACUUAGAUGGGAAGAAUGCUGACU
rnacentral:rRNA from 1 species